GAUGAACGCUGGCGGCGUGCCUAACACAUGCAAGUCGGGCGAUCUUCUUCGGAAGAGAGCGGCGGACGGGUGAGUAACGCGUGGGUAACCUGCCUCAUACACAUGGAUAACAUACCGAAAGGUAUGCUAAUACAAGAUGAUAUAAGAGAUUCGCAUGGAUUUCUUAUCAAAGCUCCGGCGGUAUGAGAUGGACCCGCGUCUGAUUAGCUAGUUGGUAAGGUAACGGCUUACCAAGGCGACGAUCAGUAGCCGACCUGAGAGGGUGAUCGGCCACAUUGGAACUGAGACACGGUCCAAACUCCUACGGGAGGCAGCAGUGGGGAAUAUUGCACAAUGGGCGAAAGCCUGAUGCAGCAACGCCGCGUGAGCGAUGAAGGCCUUCGGGUCGUAAAGCUCUGUCCUCAAGGAAGAUAAUGACGGUACUUGAGGAGGAAGCCCCGGCUAACUACGUGCCAGCAGCCGCGGUAAUACGUAGGGGGCUAGCGUUAUCCGGAUUUACUGGGCGUAAAGGGUGCGUAGGUGGUUUCUUAAGUCAGGAGUGAAAGGCUACGGCUCAACCGUAGUAAGCUCUUGAAACUGGGAAACUUGAGUGCAGGAGAGGAAAGUGGAAUUCCUAGUGUAGCGGUGAAAUGCGUAGAUAUUAGGAGG
rnacentral:rRNA from 1 species